rnacentral:rRNA from 1 species
CCUACGGGGUGCAGCAGUAGGGAAUUUUCGUCAAUGGGCGCAAGCCUGAACGAGCACUGCCGCGUGAACGAGGAAGGUCUUCGGAUCGUAAAGUUCUGUUGAAGGGGAAAAAGAGCGGAGAGAGGAAAUGGUCUCCGAUUGAUAUUACCCUUCGAGGAAGUCACGGCUAACUACGUGCCAGCAGCCGCGGUAAUACGUAGGUGGCGAGCGUUAUCCGGAAUGAUUGGGCGAAAAGGGUGCGUAGGCGGCCUGCUAAGUCUGGAGUGAAAGGUACCGGCUCAACCGGUACAGGCUCUGGAAACUGGCGGGCUAGAGAGCAGGAGAGGGCGGUAGAACUCCAUGUGUAGCGGUAAAAUGCGUAGAUAUAUGGAAGAACACCAGUGGCGAAGGCGGCCGCCUGGCCUGUUACUGACGCUGAGGCACGAAAGCGUGGGGAGCAAAUAGGAUUAGAUACCCUUGUAGUC